rnacentral:rRNA from 1 species
UACGUAGGGCGCAAGCGUUGUCCGGAAUUAUUGGGCGUAAAGAGCUCGUAGGCGGCUUGUCACGUCGGAUGUGAAAGCCCGGGGCUUAACUCCGGGUCUGCAUUCGAUACGGGCUAGCUAGAGUGUGGUAGGGGAGAUCGGAAUUCCUGGUGUAGCGGUGAAAUGCGAAGAUAUCAGGAGGAACACCGGUGGCGAAGGCGGAUCUCUGGGCCAUUACUGACGCUGAGGAGCGAAAGCGUGGGGAGCGAACAGG